rnacentral:snoRNA from 1 species
AGUGGCAAUUGAUGAAUAGUAUCUUAUCCUACACACUGAUGAAACUGUGUUGACUAUAAAACUCCGCUUAUUAUCUGAUGCCAUU